rnacentral:rRNA from 1 species
GACGAACGCUGGCGGCGUGCUCAACACAUGCAAGUCGAGCGGAAAGGCCCUUUCGGGGGUACUCGAGCGGCGAACGGGUGAGUAACACGUGAGUAAUCUGCCCCUGGCUUUGGGAUAGCCACCGGAAACGGUGAUUAAUACCGGAUACGACCACUUCUCGCAUGGGAUGGUGGUGGAAAGUUUUUCGGCCAGGGAGGUGCUCGCGGCCUAUCAGCUUGAUGGUGAGGUAAUGGCUCACCAUGGCUUCGACGGGUAGCCGGCCUGAGAGGGUGACCGGGCACACUGGGACUGAGACACGGCCCAGACUCCUACGGGAGGCAGCAGUGGGGAAUAUUGGACAAUGAGCGGAAGCCUGAUCCAGCAACGCCGCGUGAGGGAUGUCGGCCUUCGGGUUGUAACCCUCUUUCAGCAGGGACGAAGCGCAAGUGACGGUACCUGCAGAAGAAGCACCGGCCAACUACGUGCCAGCCGCCGCAGUAA